UACGAAGGGGGCUAGCGUUGCUCGGAAUCACUGGGCGUAAAGCGCACGUAGGCGGGUUCUUAAGUCAGGGGUGAAAUCCUGGAGCUCAACUCCAGAACUGCCUUUGAUACUGGGAAUCUCGAGUCCGGAAGAGGUGAGUGGAACUCCGAGUGUAGAGGUGAAAUUCGUAGAUAUUCGGAAGAACACCAGUGGCGAAGGCGGCUCACUGGUCCGGUACUGACGCUGAGGAGCGAAAGCGUGGGGAGCGAACAGG
rnacentral:rRNA from 1 species